UAAAAUCUGAAUAUGGAAUUCAGUACCUCCAGCUUUCCAGUUCCUCUGUGGAAUACUUCAUCAUCUGGCAUAUGACCUCAGAACAUCUCCAGG